rnacentral:rRNA from 1 species
AUGAGGAACUUGAAAGACGAGAAAACCAAAAUUUAUCCCUCAACUACGAGGGGAGGUAAGGAACCGCCAUCUAGCUCUGCACUUGAUUCACCUUCUGUUUUGAGUAAACUUGCGACACCUAAACCUGCUUCUGCUAUUAAUUCUGAUAUGUCGCAUGUUAUUGAUGAUGCCAGUUCUACUAUGCAUGAUACUUAUGAUGAAACUACUUCUAUGCUUGAUACUACUGUGCCACUUGGUGAAUUUCUUGAUGAACAACUUGCUAGGGCUAGAGAGAAUGAAAUUAUUGAAACUGAUAAUAUUGAUGAAAGUGAUGAUGAA